CUGCAAGAUAUUUCCUCAUCUCUGAGAGGCCUGCUUGCGAAGUAAUUAUUUUGAGAUCUCCCUUUUCUCUCUCCAAAGUACUGUAUACUGUUUGUCAACAUUGAUGCGGCCUUGUCCUUGUGCGAAUCCCAAACUAAUUCCUCCCCACAACUCAGGCUGUAAAGCAUCAAGGUAUAUUUCCAAUGGCUUGAUGUAGGUGAACUGUAGGUGACCUCAGACUACUUAAAUCAUUUUGCAGUUUGAACAAAGGGAGCUGGCACUGAAUAUUUACUGGAUGCUAGUGGGCAUUUAUGUCUUUUUAAAAUCUUUCCCCCUUGCAAUCUCAUCUCACUAGCUCCCUCAGUCUUAGUUACUUCUCUUUCCUCACACCCAACUCUAGCUCUAACCCUGAUAAUUCUCCCCUCAGAGUGUAUAUAACUCCUCCUUUGCAGGGGUGCCAUUUCAGGGUGGGAAGAAGAGGGCUUAUCUUGCAAGGAAAGGAAACAGGUUACUCCAAACUACCGUAUUUUUUGCACCAUAACACUCACUUUUUUCCUCCUAGAAAGUAAGGGGAAACGUCUGUGCGUGUUAUGGAGCGAAUGCCUGCGGGUGGUGGGGAUCUGCUGCAGUCGUGAGCAGAGGAUCCAUGGUUCCCCUUCCUUCCCUCCUCCGUGGUUACAAAGCAUGGAUCCACAUGGAUCCUCAGGAUUUUUGCAUUGGGCUACUCCAAACUCACUGUCAGAUCACAUGUCUGUGGCCACAGCAUGAACCACAAAAAUCAUAUAUCCACUAUUUCGUUUAGAAUAUAUUUUUUCUUGUUUUCCUCCUCUAAAAACUACGUGCGUGCUAUGGUCUGGUGCGUGUUAUAGAGCGAAAAAUACGGUAGUUUUCUUCAGGAAAGCAGAAAGACAAUUGUAAUAAAUGGGCUUCAGGUUGAUAAAUGGCUUGAGUGCAGCACAAUAAGCAGAAUCACCUGGAUUCUAACAGCUGAAGCAGUAACUGUGGUGACAAAGCUAUAACCGGGUAUUUUAUUAAUUGUAUUUAAAGUUCUGAAACAUUUAUAUACAUGUGGUGUGGUGCAACUUCCCAAACUUAUCCUACAUUUAAAUAUCCAGGAGAUAGUGAGCUGCAUUGACAUUUAAUUUCACUACUCAAAGGAAUGGCUGCCACAUGCACACAAAUACACAAAUCUUCCUGCAGUGGCUUCACUAUUUCAUAUGUUAAUCUUAAUUCAUCUAGAGUAAGGACUUGUUGACAUUAUGAAUGUUGUUGUUGCUUCUUGCAUUUUGCAGAGUAUAAUGGACAAAAUAAUCCCAACUAAAGCAAUGAAUUAUUACAUGCUUGAUGCCAAUAGAUGACCAUCUGGAAGCAAUCAUUAGGUGGUGCAAUUUAAAGUUGUUUCCAUGUGGCAUCUACAAUGAACAGGUUUAUCUUCCUUCACAGAUGUAAGGAAUUAGAUUAAAAGAGAGUGUUGGGCUGUGCUCAUGACCUGGUUGCCAGAGGAACUAGGGAACACAGCCCAAAGAGAUUGUCUUCACAGCUGCCAUAUAUAAGCAGUCAAAGAUUAAUAACUGUUGGAAUCUAAAGAGCUACAGUAGGUGAGGUUCUAAAGAGUUAGUUACUUUUUAUUUCGCAAGUAGUUAUAAUCCUGACAACAGCAUUAGUAACUAUUCCACUGUCUUCAGUUUUUCUAUUGGUAUGUUCCAAAGCUACACUCAACCAACUUCCAAGUCCUAACAUUGCCUUGUUUCCCUAAACCAGGCCUAGUUGAAUGGAUUUUUCUGGAAACUGGUUUCUGAAAAAGAAAAUGCAGUUUCACAAAAGAUACCCAGUACAGCAGAUCUAAAAGGACAUUGAUUACAGGUAAGAAUGUCUACUUCUUGUAUUCAAACCUCUUCUUCAUUGUAAUAGUACUGAUAGUGCACCAUUGAUAUGCAUGGCACUCACUGUAC